AACGAACGCUGGCGGCGUGCCUAACACAUGCAAGUUGAACGGGCCUUGGAGUGGUAGCAAUACCAUUUCGAGGUUAGUGGCGGACGGGUGAGUAACACGUAGGUAACCUACCCUUAGGCGGGGGACAACUCAGGGAAACUUGAGCUAAUACCGCAUAAAUCCAUCGGCUGGGAUGCUGGUGGGGAAAGUGGCAACACACCUAGGGAUGGGCCUGCGGCCUAUCAGGUAGUUGGUGGGGUAAGAGCCCACCAAGCCGAAGACGGGUAGCCGGGCUGAGAGGUUGAACGGCCACACUGGAACUGAGACACGGUCCAGACUCCUACGGGAGGCAG
rnacentral:rRNA from 1 species